rnacentral:rRNA from 1 species
UACGGAGGAGGCAAGCGUUAUCCGGAAUUAUUGGGCGUAAAGCGUCCGUAGAUGGUUUUGUCAGUCUGCUGUCAAAGCACAGGGCUUAACCCUGUAAAGGCAGUGGAAACUACAAGACUAGAGUGCAGUAGGGGUAGAGGGAAUUCCCGGUGUAGCGGUGAAAUGCGUAGAGAUCGGGAAGAACAUCGGUGGCGAAAGCGCUCUACUGGACCGCAACUGACACUCAGGGACGAAAGCUAGGGGAGCGAAUGGG